rnacentral:tRNA from 1 species
UUAGAUGCAAUGGGGAAUUUUCUGGCUAGAGGGCAUUUGCUUGACUCUUAAUCAGAGGGUCCAGGGUUCGAGUCCCUGAGGAACCACCA